rnacentral:lncRNA from 1 species
AUGAUGGGGGCGCCCACGUCAGCCCAAGGGCUCAGCGCGCUGGCCCGGAAGUGGCGUUACGAGGGGCGGAGCCUGGGACGGCGGACUACAACUCCCGACAUGCCCCGCGGAACGUCGAGGGACGAAUCUUGCCACACCUCUUGGCGGAUGGAUAACGGGGCGGGGAGCCGAAGCCUUUGUUCAGUAAAUUCUAUUGGCGGACUCGUUCGAGGUCCGCUGCCAAGGCUUUUCCGUGUGUUCCUCGCCGCGGCUUGGAACUCUCUCCACGGCCCCGUACCCGAGGCGACGCGCCCCGAUCGGCACCUGCGGCCACGGUCAGCGCCCGCUCUGCGCGGGGCGUGCGGAGGGCGCUCCGCGGCCAGGUGGCCUCGCUGUCCCCGCUGCCCCUGUCGCUCCUGCUGCUGCUGCUGCUCCUGCUGCCUGAACCCGGACCCGAGCUCUGACGACCCGGGCUCGCCUAUCAGACCGGGUCCCCUUCUGAGAGGGGGUGGCUCGCUUUGUUGUGUGCCAGGCGCUGCGCAGACCGUGGAAAUACCGUGGUGAGGAAGAACCAGACUCAUCCCAGUUCCUGCCUUCGUGGAGCCAGCAGUUUAUGGGAGGCGGGGGUGUGUGUGGGGGGGGGGCAGCUGUUAAUUAAAGGAUUCCCACGCAUUGCAUGUGAACUGAUAACCCAUUAGAUAAACCAUGGCCAGGGCGUGCAAAGAGAAGUACAUGAUAUGAGGGAGUUAAAGAAGUGGCGAGUGGGCUACACAAUCCAAAGGAUCGGUGUUAAUUGGGGGAACUAAAGUUCAGCACAGUGAAGCACUCGCAUGAAGUAAAACAGGUCCUGUGGCUGGAGAGAGCCUGAUUUGAGAACUGAAAGAAGACAAAUGGAGCCCAGGUGCCGGGGAGUGUGGUUCCCAUGGUGACAAAUGUGGGUGCUGGCAGACCUUGUGAGCCAUGUAAAGAAUCGCAGCCCUUGGAACAGCACAGGAAGCCCUUGUGGUUGGGCAACGGGAUGGAGCUUUGAAACAAGCUGCAAAUGAAAGUAGUGCAUCCCCAGCUAACUAAAUUUGCUUUAAAACAGACUCGAUCAGAGGAAGAGGUGGAAUGGGAAAAAAAUGAGAAGAUCUUCUUAUGCUUUAGUUUAUUUUUUUUUUUUAAGAUUUUAUUUAUUCAUGAGAAACACAUAGAAAGAGGCAGAGACACAGGCAGAGGGAGAAGCAAGCUUCCUGCAAGGAGCCCGAGGUGGGACUGGAUCCUGGGACUCCAGGAUCAUGCCCUGAGCUGAAGGCAGACGCUCAACCGCUGAGUCACCCAGGCGUCCCUAUGCUUUAGUUUAAAGGGAAUCUUCACUUGCUCCUUUGAUAUUACACAUUAGCAAUGAUUGAUGCUCAGAUGAGCCACAGUUCCAAAUAGGCAAGCGUCUUUAGUGUCACAAAUUCAAGGCAAAAGGUUCUUACCUUGGAUUAUAAACUGGGGAGCAUAAACCAAUGUUUGUUUUAUUCAAUGUGUGCCCAGUGCUUGGAUCUAGUUGGUACUUAAAAAAUACUGUGGGGGUGCUUGAGUGGCUCAAUUGGUUAAGUUUCCCAGUCUUGAUCUUAGGGUCCUGAGUUCAAUUCCCCCCACUUUAUUCCUAUAAUAUACAUAUAAUAUUUC